rnacentral:rRNA from 1 species
UACGAAGGGGGCUAGCGUUGCUCGGAAUCACUGGGCGUAAAGCGCACGUAGGCGGGUCGUUAAGUCAGGGGUGAAAUCCUGGAGCUCAACUCCAGAACUGCCUUUGAUACUGGGGAUCUCGAGUCCGGAAGAGGUGAGUGGAACUCCGAGUGUAGAGGUGGAAAUUCGUAGAUAUUCGGAAGAACACCAGUGGCGAAGGCGGCUCACUGGUCCGGUACUGACGCUGAGGUGCGGAAAGCGUGGGGAGCAACAGGG